rnacentral:rRNA from 1 species
CCUACGGGUGGCUGCAGUGGGGAAUAUUGGACAAUGGGCGAAAGCCUGAUCCAGUCAUGCCGCGUGUGUGAAGAAGGCCUUCGGGUUGUAAAGCACUUUCAGUGGGGAAGAAAGCCUUGGGGCUAAUACCCUCGAGGAAGGACAUCACCCACAGAAGAAGCACCGGCUAACUCCGUGCCAGCAGCCGCGGUAAUACGGAGGGUGCGAGCGUUAAUCGGAAUUACUGGGCGUAAAGCGCGCGUAGGCGGUCUGAUAAGCCGGUUGUGAAAGCCCCGGGCUCAACCUGGGAACGGCAUCCGGAACUGUCAGGCUAGAGUGCAGGAGAGGAAGGUAGAAUUCCCGGUGUAGCGGUGAAAUGCGUAGAGAUCGGGAGGAAUACCAGUGGCGAAGGCGGCCUUCUGGACUGACACUGACGCUGAGGUGCGAAAGCGUGGGUAGCAAACAGGAUUAGAUACCCUAGUAGUC